GGAAAAAAUAUAGCACGGCGGCCUGUCCUCUCUGAGUACGCACAACAGCACGGGUCCUCUUCCUGGGACGGCACGGCAACGCCGCCAUGAAUCAAGCCGCCGCGCGCGGCCGGUAUACCUUUCCCGCUACCCUCCAGCAGCCCGGCCGUUGCCCUUUUCUUCCCCUCCUCACCCGCCCCAACUCCUCACCCCCAGCCUCCUCGGCCUCAACGCGGACGUCUCCGAUUUGGAUAGGAUUCGACGCCGCCACGCGCGGCCGGUCUUCCUCUCUAGCUAUCCUCCAGCAGCGCCGCCGUUGCCCUGUUCUUCGCCUCCUCACCCGCCCCAACUCCUCACCCCCAGCCUCCUCCGCCUCGAGGAGGACGGCUCCGAUUUGGAGCUCAAGUACUGCCUCCUGACACCUCCAUCCCCAAGUACGUCCUCCCGUCAGACGAGGACGAGAUUUGGAUUGGGGCGCAACAGAGAUGAGGAAGGACAAAGCAUGAAUAGCUCCAGUGAGAGUGAACGGAUAUGAACACCACAACCCUCUCAGGGGUUGUUGGCUGAUCAGGAUACCCAAUUCUCAAACAAGCAUGCUGAGAUGCUCAAGAUAUGGAAGUUCGCCCACAAGCUCGACCGCCAGGUUUUUUUGGUUCAUGUUCAAUGGGAGGCGAAUAGUGUAGAGAGGGUAUCUGAUGCAAGUCCAAGGUAAACAUUUGUUUCUUUUAUUGUGUUUAGGUGAACAUGUCAAAGGUGCAGAUGGACAUGAUGAAGCCGUGAAUUGUCACGCAAGUCACUGAGCUUCUUGGGUUUGAAAAACUACCUAACUGCUAUUAUCCUGAAUUUAGUUUUAUCUAAACUAAGAGGACCACAAGUGCUUCUCUAACAAAGAAUUACUCAUUUGGUGUUCUUUUGCACUGCUGAUUUUAGUUCAAAUUGGUGUCAGUGCGACCUUUUUGUCAUGUUGGAUAAGGCUUUCUGUAUCACAUGGAUGUGACCUGUAGUAUGGUGUAGAAAAGUGAUGAAAGGUAUUAGUUUGAAUUAAUUUGGCAGCAAUAGUUUAUCAAGUUUUUGCCAAGCCAGCUAUUUGUAGAAUUUCUGCAGCUGUACUUUGUGCCAUCUCCCUCAUGUAGAUAUAUAUAUACUAGCAGACUAGCACGUAAAUUAUUUACAUCAAAACUGAGACAUAUCUAUAUAUGAUGGAGGCAUUUCUUUCUUUAUAUUCAGCAGUACCUCUUGCUGCUAUAAAGAAAGUAGAAACAUGGUUGAUAAAUAAUCACAUUGUUCUGCCCAUUUUUCAUUUCACAAUCCAUUACAAUUGUUAUGUCCUUGCAAUCAUACCACUACACAUGACGCUUCCUAGAUCUGGAACCCAACCAAAGCACAAUCAAGUUUGAUUUGUGCUGUUAUUGGGCCUCGCUGCGACCCUGAUGUUUUUGGGCCAAGUUGGGCAGAAUCUGCUCAUGCUUAUAAUAAAACAAGUUUGUUAACAGAUUAAAUAGUCGCACCUAGCUUCUUACAGCUAAUUCUAUCAAGUUUUUUUAAAAAAAAUUCUAUCAAUUUAUAUAUGCCUAUAAGUAUGAGAAUUAACAAGCAGCCUGAGAAUAAACUGACGGAGGGUGAGCUGUGUUUAGCAAAAAGUAUCACCUGGUUAGCGUAAUAAAUAAAAGGAGUUGGGGAUUGUUGGCUGCCAAACGAAAAAUCUCAGGAAGCCUAAAUAAAAGGGAUCGUGGGCUGCGAAUCAAAAAACCCUGUUUAGUAUAAAUAAAGGAAAUUGUGGGCUCUGAAAUGAAAAAUUCCGGUUGACAUAAAUAAAGGAGAUUGUGGGCUACGAAACAAAUAAUCUCAGUUGAGCACGAUUGUUGUAUGCUAAACGAAAAAUAAAAGCGACUGUGGUCUGUGAAACAAAAAAUAAGCAAAGGCCUCCCGGUUGGCAUGAAUAAAUGCUAUGAAACGAAGAAAAUAAAUAAAUGGGCAUGGUUGAACAAUUUCAGUAUUUUAUACUAAUACUAUUUUCAUUUAAAGGCUGAAUUUUGUCACCCCGUUGCAACACACGGGCAUAUGUCCUAGAAGAUAUUUGGAAUGCAGAGUUCAUGAAAACAAAUGUUAGUCCUUUUUUUCUUCUUUUGAAAAGCUCUCUUCAUUCUUUUUCUCGUCUAUUCUUACUGCUUGAGAAUUGUUGCAGUCCGUACCAUGUAUCCACCGUUUCCUAAGGAGAGUGUUCCUAUGCUAAAAGUUGUUGUUUUGCUGUUGCAGAUUUGUGCGGUCUAAAUAGUACUGUAUUUAGUUUUCUGGAAGGGUGCAAAAGGCAUACUGGUCUUCCUGUGUAUACUGAUUGCUAAAUGAUGCAAUAGUAUUUGUGCGGUGGGGGAGUGUCAUUCCCUGUGUUUACUGAUUGGCCUCACCCUCUUAAGAGAUCUAACCCUUGUCACCAUAAGGAAAAAAGCAAAGAGUAUUAUGACGCCAUAAAGUUUGAAUUCAGAGAAGUAUAUGCUGAAGAACACCAGAAUUAGUCUUCAUGAACCAUCAUCGCCUUGUUGAUGAUGCUUCACAUAGCGCCCACAAAUUAAACAACCUAUGAAAUGGCCAGAAGGGACCGGAUAUCCUACUUGGUAUGUGGUUUUAGAAGCGACUUAGGUUCCAGCUUGCUGUGAAUUUUAUGAUUUAUCACUACUAUAAUGUUAACUACUUAACUCGAUACUGAAAGAUUGGAGCCGUAGUAUUUGCAGAGGAAUUCCGAACAGGCUUCAUUAAUUCAGUAAAGGCCUAAUUAGAAACAUCUAUGACUUCACUAGAGAGUGGAUCUGCACUCGAGGAGCAGCUCGAGCAGCUCUGCGCACAUGCCUAGACCUACUUUCCUGUCGGCGUUGUUGAUAUGUGUGUUCUGUAUCAUUCUUUACGUCUAGCGUGUGAUGUAAUCCAUUUUCAGACUUUUUCACCAGUGGAAGCAUAUAUUUUACAAGCUGAAUCAAUAGAUGUUCAUUGAGUUUCAUGUAAAAAGCGCAUGUACAUUCUCACCAAAAACAAGAAAGUGUGUGUGUGCCCGACCUUCUCCCGCUGCGACCUUGACCAGGAAGCACGUCAAACAGAAAUGCCAAUCUUUACACCAGCAUCAAGCCCCUAGAAAAGUCUAUCACCUGUAUCUUUGCAUAUCACCGAGAUGGAGCCAGAAGACAAUUUUUUUAUCUUUAGGUGUUAACUCCUUGUGACAGGUAUAUGUGAGUAUCAUCGUUGUGUAGAGAUAGAAAUAUUCACAUUAGCAAACCUUUAGCUUAAGGUGUGACUGGUACCCAAUUACUCUUGGUCUCACUAUUUUAUCUUUUUGCUGGACAUUUUACAUCUCUUUUGAUUACUAAGCCUUUUAUUUUCUA